UACGUAGGGCGCAAGCGUUAUCCGGAAUUAUUGGGCGUAAAGAGCUCGUAGGCGGUUUGUCGCGUCUGCCGUGAAAGUCCGGGGCUCAACUCCGGAUCUGCGGUGGGUACGGGCAGACUAGAGUGCAGUAGGGGAGACUGGAAUUCCUGGUGUAGCGGUGAAAUGCGCAGAUAUCAGGAGGAACACCGAUGGCGAAGGCAGGUCUCUGGGCUGUAACUGACGUUGAGGAGCGAAAGCAUGGGGAGCGAACAGG
rnacentral:rRNA from 1 species